ACAUGCGUACAACAUAACAUUAAUACACUAGAUCUGAUUAGAACUCUAGAGUUAAGCAUGCUCGGUUUAGAGUAUUAUUGGGAUGGGUGACCACCCAAGAAGUCCUAUUGUUUUACAUGCC
rfam:Picea glauca, whole genome shotgun sequence.